rnacentral:rRNA from 1 species
AACGAACGCUGGCGGCAGGCUUAACACAUGCAAGUCGAACGAGCUGGGAACUUCGGUUCCCGAUGCUAGUGGCGCACGGGUGAGUAACACGUGGGAACGUACCCUUUAGUACGGAAUAACUCAGGGAAACUUGAGCUAAUACCGUAUGACUCCUUCGGGAGAAAGAUUUAUCGCUAAAGGAGCGGCCCGCGUCUGAUUAGGUAGUUGGUAGGGUAAUGGCCUACCAAGCCGACGAUCAGUAGCUGGUCUGAGAGGAUGAUCAGCCACACUGGGACUGAGACACGGCCCAGACUCCUACGGGAGGCAGCAGUGGGGAAUAUUGGACAAUGGGCGAAAGCCUGAUCCAGCCAUGCCGCGUGAGUGAAGAAGGCCUUCGGUUGUAAAGCUCUUUCGACGGGGGCGAUGAUGACGGUACCCGUAUAAGAAGCCCCGGCAACUUCGUGCCAGCAGCCGCGGUAAU